GCAUCGGUGGUCUAGUGGUAGAAUACUCGCCUGCCACGCGGGUGACCCGGGUUCAAUUCCCGGUCGAUGCA
rnacentral:tRNA from 2 species